rnacentral:rRNA from 1 species
AAGAAAGUAAGUAAGGGCGUAUGGCGAAUGCCUUGGCUCUCAGAGGCGAUGAAGGACGUGAUAAGCUGCGAUAUGCUUCGGGAAGGUGCAAAUAACCUUUGAUCCGGAGAUUUCCGAAUGGGGAAACCCAGUACCAUGAAGUGGUAUUAUCCUGAUUUAUCAGGAAGCUAACCCAGGGAACUGAAACAUCUAAGUACCUGGAGGAAGAUAAAACAAUAGUGAUUCCCUAAGUAGCGGCGAGCGAACGGGGAAUAGCCCAAACCAUAUUUGUUUCGGCAUUAUGGGGUUGUAGGACUACAACGUGACUGUAAAUUUGAAGUAGAAUUUUCUGGAAGUUAAACCAUAGAGGGUGAUAGUCCUUAUACAAAUC